rfam:Schistocephalus solidus strain NST_G2 genome assembly, scaffold: SSLN_scaffold0012023
CCUUGGCUCAAUGGUAGAGCGUUCGACUCAAAUACCAAAGGUCGCGGGUUCGAAUCCCAGG